CGCUCCGUGCGCGCCGUCGCGUCGCGGCGCUCACUGGGGGCCCGGCUUUCGCCCGCUGCUGCCGCCGCCGCCGCCGGCCGCGGCUGCACUCCCAAGAUGGCGGCUCCUCCGGGCGAGUACUUCAGCGUUGGGAGCCAGGUGUCGUGCCGGACGUGCCAGGAGCAGCGGCUGCAGGGCGAGGUGGUAGCCUUUGACUACCAAUCCAAAAUGCUGGCUUUAAAAUGUCCCUCUUCCAGUGGAAAGCCCAACCAUGCAGACAUCUUGCUCAUAAACUUACAGUAUGUUUCAGAAGUGGAAAUAAUUAAUGACCGAACAGAAACCCCUCCUCCCCUAGCUUCACUCAAUGUUAGUAAGCUUGCCAGCAAAGCACGGACAGAGAAGGAGGAGAAGCUGAGCCAGGCCUAUGCAAUCAGUGCUGGUGUCUCUCUAGAGGGCCAGCAGCUCUUCCAGACCAUUCACAAGACUAGAGACGAGUUUUUGCCCUGUUGCCCAGUCUGGUCUCGAACUCCUGGACUCAAGCAAUCUACCCGCCUCGGCCUCCCAAAGCGCGGGGAUUACAGCAUUAAAGACUGUAAAUGGCAAGAAAAAAACAUCGUAGUCAUGGAAGAAGUUGUUAUUACACCCCCAUAUCAAGUGGAAAACUGUAAAGGCAAAGAGGGGAGUGCACUGAGCCAUGUACGCAAAAUAGUAAGUAAAGGAGCCCUCAGACUUUAGGGGAGAGAGGAUGGUUCCUCAGGCCUUCAGUCUUUAGCACCAGACCAGGACAUUGUGCUACAGUCUCUGCCUCCUCUAGCAGCCCUGUCUGGCCUCCCUGCCUUCCCUGUACUGUGGGGUUCUGCAGUCCUGUGGGAAUGGAACCACUGGGUGGUGUGGAAUGAAGUGAGUGGGUGACCCUAUGUCCUUUGCUGGUUUUUUGGAAUUAGCAAGACUGUUCCAUGAUAUUGGGCCUGAGCAGUUUCUCUCAUCCCAUAUUGAGUUUUUCUUUUUUAGAGACAGAGUCUCGCUCUGUCGCCCACGCUGGAGUGCAGUGGCGCGAUCUCAGCUCACUGCAACCUCCGCCUCCCGGGUUCAAGCGAUUCUCCUGCCUCAGCCUCCCGAGUACCUGGGACUACAGGCGUAUGCCACCACACCCGGCUAGAGAUGGGGUUUCACCAUGUUGGCCAGGCUGGUCUCGAACUCCUGACCUGAAGUGAUCUGCCCACCUUGGCCUCCCAAAGGGCUGGGAUUGCAGGUUGAAAAACAUUUUAGAGACGUGGAAAGCCAAAAGAUACUGCAACGUUCACAAGCCCAGCAACCACAGAAGGAGGCUGCCCUAUCAUCCUGAGUCCGUACACAUGGAGGACUCUUCCAGCAUCCAGCCAAGGAGGCGCUGGUGGUGGCUUCAGCGGAGGCAGGCCGGGGGAGGGAAGGGAUCCUAUAUGUCCUGUUGGCUCUUAACAAAGGGUCAGCAUUUCCAAAUCUUAGACUUGAACAAACAAAACACCCAACAAAAAAGAACAAGAGAAUAAUUUAAAAGUUGAAUCAUUACUUGACUAACAGACUUCGGUCCACCAUGUCCUUUUCACAGCCCUCUUCUGGAACAGUCACCUUGUUAAUUUUAUUUUUGAAAAUUCUUUUCCCACUCUGCCCUUUACUUCUGACUUUCCUUUCCUAGUCUGUUCCUGCCAUUCUGUUUUUAUAAGUGGCUACACUUGCCUUCUGAAUGAUUGAAAGAAACUUUUACAUCUUUUCUUCCAAAAUAAAAGUAACAAGCUGACUGUGAUUCUUAAGUUGAGACCAGAGCAGCAAAUGUCUCACUUUAAAUUUUUGUUUUCUUUUCCUUUUUUUCUUUUCUUUUUUUUUUUUUUUUUUUUUUGCACAGGGCAUGGCUUGAAUUAGUUUUAUUUUUCUUAACUUUAAAUAUAUAUAUGAAAAUAUAUAUUAAAAUGUUCUCUAAAUAUUUUCUGCUUCUUGCAGGUCUCUUUUUACUAGAUCAUGGCUGUUCUUCCCACCUCAUCCCUCUGAAAAUAAAAAUGUAUUGCCCUCCCCACCAUCCAUCAUAGCCAGGCCACUAACUUAACUUGGUGCAAGAGAUUCUUGCUGCGAACUUUGUAGAGACAGUGUGCAGAUAGAAUUUGGCUUUGAGGGUUCCUGAUGGCUUUUUAGUCUUUAACUGUGUGUGUACCAGUCUCACAUUUGGCCCAAACCUCAGGAUUCUCCCUCUGCCUGUCUUACUUCAUGGUACUAGAAGACCUUCCUCGCCACUCUCUCCACAUGAGAGAGUCAGCUGCCCUUUCUCCUGUGCCUCUGCAGGAAGAACUCUCUUGCAUGGCACAUCUCAGCUCCUCAUUGAGGGGUAGUUUUCUUUGAUAAGAAACCUGGAGUCCAUUUACUCUGACCUCUCUUUAAAUCUAUAUCCAGAGCCACUAGCCCAGGAAAAACUUGGGUGACCCGUAAUUUCUCUUCUCCUGCUGUCCUUUUGCUCUUACGCCCCACCCCAACUCCCCUUAAAUUUUACAAGCUUAUGACAGUUUAUAUGUGCUCAGCCAAUGAGCAGAAAACCUGGAAAGAAUUUCUGGACUUUAGCCCACCAGUUUGUCUGGUUGACUAACCUGCUGAGAGCUAAAAUUGGCACCCAUUGCCCCGUGCCUUCAGGCAGUCUCCUGGGGCAGAGUAUGCCACCAUCCGAAUAUCAGGCACUGAGUGGGAUGUGGGUGAUGCUCACAUGACUGGCUAGAGCUUUGGGGGUGGGGUGGGGGUUAACUACUAUUUUUUUGGCCAUGAUCUCUUUCCCCUUCCUUUUUUUUUUAAUUAAAUAAAUGGAUCAAAUUAAAUAAUUCAAGCCCUGCCUUCAAAAUGAAAUUUUUUUUUUUUUAGUAUUAUUUAGCAAAAACAAUAAAACCCAAAUUUUUUUAACCAUCA